rnacentral:lncRNA from 1 species
AGCUGAAGCAUGUCCCAAGAAAGAGGCACUCUAACAGCAAAUGGCCCUCUCAUUUCAGCACCACUGACCAUGAAGCAUCAAGGUCAGAAAACAGAGAAAUGCAGAGCGAAGUGAGCCCCCCUUUUAAAGCAUGGAAUUGGAGUUUCAAAGUGCAGCCAUCCAACCUGGAUAAACAGCAACAUUUUGCACAGGUCCCUGGAAUGUUUCAAAAAGCUGAUACUGAAGAAUUAUUGACAUGAAGGCCUCUUACAUUGCUGGAUUACAGAUACCUUAAUGAACCCACCCUAUGGGGGGGGUCAGAUUUUGAUCCCAGUGGUGUAAACCUGGAGUAGUGGAUUUUAGUGAAUUUCAGUGGGAUACCUCUAAAAAAAUCCAUGUAUAAUGAAAAUAAAACAUUUUUAAAGCAAUACAUUUUUUUACUGCUAAGCUGCCCCAUCCUUCAGUCUCAAAAUUUUUUGGGGAUUCUCAUGUUGGUUUGAUAUGGCAGAGCAAGAGG